GAAAAAGUGAAAAAGUAAAGCCCACCCAGCAAACAUCAGGGCCCCCGGGUUUUGGAGACCUGCUUUUCCCAAGGGUGCCAAAGGCAUUCUCGAAAGCACCUUGCGAUAGUGGUGGCGCCGUGCGGCUGGGGCGGGGCGGGACAGGGAGGACAGACGUUCUGGCUUUAAUACAGCAGCUCUGCCAUGAGCUUAAAUAAUUAGCAAGACUGCGUCUGCCUUCCCCCCCGGGCCUGACAGGCGGUGACAGUCGGGGCCUGGCUGCCCGCAGAUGGAUGGGGAUUGCCUCCGCCAUCUGUCUUCCAAAGGAUCCUGUAGGUCCAGCUAUUAUUUCAGUCAGACACUGGCAGGCGGGCAAUUGUUCGCAGCCUCUGUGAGGAAUAGCGGCUGUCAAGAGUUUGAGGCCAGCUCCGGAGUCCCCGGUGACAUUACCCCAGGGAAGGAGGGAUGCAAAGAGGACCUCCAAAACCACAGAGCAGAGAAGCCAACAAAAGACUUACAGCAUGAAAUAGUGUGUCAGUCCUGA
rnacentral:lncRNA from 12 species